CUCGGCCCAGCGCCAGGGUCCGACCUCCGCUCCCUCCCGGAAUUCCUUAUGGUUGCCGGGGUGACGCCUCUUUUUCUUCUCGCCGCUUUCUGUGGAGAGGGGCUCAGGCUGGCCCGCUGGGGCUGCAGCUCGCCGCUUCCUGGGGUGUGCUGGUCGCUUCUCUCGUUGCUGAGACAGAAUGCCCGGCACCAGAGCUGGGCCGAGUUUACUGGGCUCACAGUCGGAGGUUGCGGCCGGGUCCGGCGGGCGCGGAAGCAGCAAGGGGCCUAACGGCGCUCUCUGCCCUGGUGGUCAGGGCGGCGCCGGGCCAGUCGCUCGGACUCUGCUUUUCAUCAUGGCUACAGCAAGUGGUGAGACAAACUGGACGUCUCCGCCGUGUGAGAGGUCAGAGCAAGGGUCAAAGUCAGAAACCCAUCUGCAAACCUCCGGGGUCUCCUGAAGUCGGCCUGAGUGCCUUGCCUUGUUUGUGUCUGUACUGGAAAAGGGCCCUGGAGCCGGAACCCCUCCUUGGGACUCUCCAAGAGGCCGAGCACUGUGAGUUGAAGGAGUGGGAAACUCCACCCCGCCUGUGUCCUUCCUGGAUCAGAGCUGACUGGGGGGCUGAAGCUGAGGUUUCUGAGGCACUUGGGGAGGGUGGCCUGGUUUCCUAGGCUAAGGAGACUCCCGGUGUGGCUGCUUCUGUAAACACAUGGGGGCUGAGAAGGGGCCUCAGUGACUUCAGUCUCCUCUCUGGGCUUCUUCAAGUGCCACACCUGGGCCUUCGCAGAAAGCAGUUGCUGAUAAAGAGCCAUGAGAGCCUGAGCACAAGGAAUUUCACGCCAGUGUCCCUGCCUUUUGCAGAAUAGAUCUAGCUGAAGAACAGUGCUGUGAUUUAGAUGAAUUCUGUACCCAUCUGUCACCAUUUCUGAGUUCAUACCGCACCAAACAGUUCUGCAAUAGGAGAUGAGCGUUUUUUUCUCUCAGAUAGUCAGGGUCCAUUUAUUUCCACUUUGAAGGGUGGAGCCUCAUGAUGAGGUUGCUGGGAUCGCAGGGUGUUUCCUGUGGGGCUUCUGGGGCCUCUGGGCUGGCUCACCAAGAAAUGCUACCACAUGUGGGUCCCAGGGAAAUUCCUUCCAGGUUCUUGGUGUCUUGGACAAGACACAGGGAAAACGUAGUGGAGAUGUACAUUUAUUGAAGGUGGGAAAGAAGUUCACUCUGCAGAGUGAAACCGAGCUAGUGAACAGACUCACAGUGGCCAAAAAAGUAAAAUUCCGAGACAGUCUCACUAAAUUCCCCAGCUGACCUCAAACUUGCAAUCCUCCUGCUUCAGCCUUCCCAGUAGCUAGGAUUACGGUAUGUGUCACAGUUCCUGACUUCAUUUGACUCUUUUUUUAUGGCUUCCAUUUCUCUACUACG
rnacentral:lncRNA from 1 species